rnacentral:rRNA from 1 species
GUGGCCUUGAGCCGUGGCUUUCGGAGCUAACGCGUUAAGUAGACCGCCUGGGGAGUACGGUCGCAAGAUUAAAACUCAAAUGAAUUGACGGGGGCCCGCACAAGCGGUGGAGCAUGUGGUUUAAUUCGAUGCAACGCGAAGAACCUUACCUACUCUUGACAUCCAGAGAAUUUUCCAGAGAUGGAUUAGUGCCUUCGGGAACUCUGAGACAGGUGCUGCAUGGCUGUCGUCAGCUCGUGUUGUGAAAUGUUGGGUUAAGUCCCGCAACGAGCGCAACCCUUAUCCUUGUUUGCCAGCACGUAAUGGUGGGAACUCCAGGGAGACUGCCGGUGAUAAACCGGAGGAAGGUGGGGACGACGUCAAGUCAUCAUGGCCCUUACGAGUAGGGCUACACACGUGCUACAAUGGCGCAUACAGAGGGCGGCCAACCAGCGAUGGUGAGCGAAUCCCAAAAAGUGCGUCGUAGUCCGGAUUGGAGUCUGCAACUCGACUCCAUGAAGUCGGAAUCGCUAGUAAUCGUGAAUCAGAAUGUCACGGUGAAUACGUUCCCGGGCCUUGUACACACCGCCCGUCACACCAUGGGAGUGGGCUGCAAAAGAAGUGGGUAGUUUAACCUUCGGGAGGACGCUCACCACUUUGU